UACGUAGGGACCAAGCGUUGUUCGGAUUUACUGGGCGUAAAGGGCGCGUAGGCGGCAUGACAAGUCACUUGUGAAAUCUCCGGGCUUAACUCGGAACGGCCAAGUGAUACUGUCGCGCUAGAGUGCGGAAGGGGCAAUCAGAAUUCUUGGUGUAGCGGUGAAAUGCGUAGAUAUUGGGAAGAACACCGGUGGCGUAGGCGACUAGCUGGGCUGUAACUGACGCUGAGGAACGAAAGCCAGGGGAGCGAAUGGG
rnacentral:rRNA from 1 species